ACUACCCAGCUCACCAACACUCAAAACAAAGGAAAAAAAAGAGAGAGAAAUGAAAGAAAGGGAUGAGAGGAGAGGGGAGCUACGGUAAGGGAGAAGGGGGAAGAGAGAGAGAGAGCGACGGAGAGCUGCACCCUACCGCCGAUCCGCCACCGAACUUGCCGCCCAGUCAUCGUCACGUCACUACCCAGCCACCAUGGCAUCGCUGCCUGCUGCUGCCGAACCUAUUCCGCCGCCGAACCGAUUAUCGUGUUCUGCUGCACGCCGUCACGGAGGAAGACCAAAACCCAGGGAGAGGGCCGCGCGAGGAGAGGUCAGCGUCGCCGUUUCCUGAAGCUCGUGUCGCCGUCGAGCCCAGAUGAGAGAGGAGAGACCGAGCCUGAACCCCGACGAGCUGGGAAGAACCAGCGCCGCCACUGUGCCAUCAUCGUGGACACCAUCGCCGCCAUUCGUGCCUCUGAUUCGCGCCAGUGUGACUUCUGUCGCCGUUAGGCUGUUCGCUGACGUCACCGCCGCCAUAACCGCCGUUGCUGGUGACCGCCAGUGGAACCCUGAUGGUCUUGGGUCGAGCUCCGAGGUUUGCAUGUCGAAUUUUUAGGUUGCCGUUGAACCACUGGAGUUUCUAGCCGUUGUCAAAGCUCCCGCCGAGUCAGUUUAGGAUUGCGGCUGCUCAGUUCUGCUGUCACCGAAUUAGAAAUCGAGUUUGCAUGUCACGAUUGAGGCUGUUCUGCUAUUGACAAAGUAAGCGGAGCUGAGGUUUUGGUUGCUGUUGAUUCCGGGCUGAGAGAAAAGAGUUCAGUUGACACGUUUGGAUUAUGGUUUCGCUUACCGAGGUUUUUUUCCUUUUCAGGAUAUGGACAACGGAGUUUCAGGAGAGUUAUAUUUAUUUUCUGUUUAUUCGACAUUAUUUUGUAUUAUCUUAGUUUUAUGUUUCCCUCGCCUUUAAUUUUGCAAGUCUUCACAAGAGGGAUAGGAUUUUGAUUAUGUAAUGCUUGUAAUAUUAAUAAUAUGUAGAUAUAUGUAUAUGUAUCUUUUGUAAGUAUUAUGGUUUGUUUUGUAAAUGUGGUUGUAUGUUAUUAGAUUAGAAGCCUCUUGAGCGGUUAUACGGUUUAAUUUUUUUUAAACAGGCUCAUAUUUUAGUAUUAAAUAUUUUAAAAGUCAUCGUAAUACCCAAGCUAUCAGAGUGGCGCAGCCGGAAGCGUGACAUUUUGAUAGUUAGGGUGUUACAAUGAUUUUUAUCUUCUUCUUUUAAUUUGUAAUAAUGUAUUCUAUAUUCGCAUAUAAGAUUCCACAUUACAUAGAUCAUAUAUCUGAAU